CGUGAGUGUCUCCAAAGAUGGUUUAUCGGAAUUUUUGCAUUUUAAUUGUGUUAUUGGACGCUGAUCGUUUCUCUCUGACUUAAGAUCUGUGUUGAUUUCGAUAGUUUCACUGUUGGCCUGGUAUUGCUUCUUCGAGGAGAAGAUUUGAACGAUCACUGCUCAUGGUGCCACUAUCUGAGUUGUGUUCCUACUUCAAGGUGGAGCUGCAAUACUCAGCCCGUUUCAUGCAUGUCGGAGCAAACGGGAACAGGUCAAUAUACUUUAACUUGCUCCAAUAACGAUAGAAGCAGGUCGUAUUCAUUGCUGAAUCCAAGCUCAUCACAGAUUCAGGGACUAUGCGUACAGCUUUGUCGAUGAUAAAAACACUUAUCUGGAUUUGAACGUACUCUAUUCGAAUCGAGAUUUAUAUAUUUAUAGUUGAAGUUCUGAAAAUGCUUUAUUGUUGCUGUCUUCUCACUACAUUCUAACAUUUGUAAAUUUGUCGACUGCUCGUAUCAUUGCACAUCGAUUUGUUUCAUUUAUGGAUCUAUUGUUCUCUUUUCCUUUGUCGA